rnacentral:tRNA from 1 species
GGGGGUAUAGCUCAAAGGUAGAGUGUGUGCUUAGCAUGCACAAGGUCCUGGGUUCAGUCCUCAGUCCCUCCA